rnacentral:rRNA from 1 species
UACGUAGGGACCAAGCGUUGUUCGGAUUUACUGGGCGUAAAGGGCGCGUAGGCGGCUUGACAAGUCACUUGUGAAAUCUCCGGGCUUAACUCGGAGCGGCCAAGUGAAACUGUCAUGCUAGAGUGCAGAAGGGGCAAUCGGAAUUCUUGGUGUAGCGGUGAAAUGCGUAGAUAUCAAGAGGAACACCUGAGGUGAAGACGGGUUGCUGGGCUGACACUGACGCUGCGGCGCGAAAGCCAGGGGAGCAAACGGG